GACGUAGGGUGCAAGCGUUGUCCGGAUUUAUUGGGCGUAAAGAGCUCGUAGGCGGCUCGUCGCGUCGACCGUGAAAACCCUAGGCUUAACCUGGGGCUUGCGGUCGAUACGGGCGGGCUAGAGUUCGGUAGGGGAGACUGGAAUUCCUGGUGUAGCGGUGAAAUGCGCAGAUAUCAGGAGGAACACCGGUGGCGAAGGCGGGUCUCUGGGCCGAUACUGACGCUGAGGAGCGAAAGCGUGGGGGAGCGAACAGG
rnacentral:rRNA from 1 species